rnacentral:rRNA from 1 species
AUUCCAGCUCCAAUAGCUUAUAUUAAAUUUGUUGCGGUUAAAAAGCUCUUAGUUGGAUUUCUGCCGAGGACGACCGGUCCGCCAUGCGGGUGAGUAUCUGGGACGACCUGGGCAUAUUCUUGGAGAACGUGUCUGCACUUGACUGUGUGGUGCGGUAUCCAGGAUUUUUACGUUGAGGAAAUUACAAUGUUUCAAGCAGGCCCACGCCGUGAAUACAUUAGCAUGGAAUAAUAAGAUAGGACCUCGGUUCUAUUUUGUUGGUUUCUGGAGCUGAGGUAAUGAUUAAUGAAGAUAAUUGGGUGCAUUCUUAUUUAAUUGUCAGAAUUGAAAUUCUUGGAUUUGUUAAAGACGGAUUACUGCGAAAGCAUUUGCCACGGAUGUUUUCAUCG